UACGGGGGGAGCAAGCGUUGUUCGGAUUUACUGGGCGUAAAGGGCGCGAAGGCGGCCACAACAAGUCACUUGUGAAAUCUCCGGGCUUAACCCGGUAGCGGCCAAGUGAUACUGUUGGGCUAGAGUGCGGAAGGGGCAACUGGAAUUCUCGGUGUAGCGGUGAAAUGCGUAGAUAUCGAGAGGAACACCUGCGGCGAAGGCGGGUUGCUGGGCCGACACUGACGCUGAGGCGCGAAAGCUAGGGGAGCGAACGGG
rnacentral:rRNA from 1 species